rnacentral:rRNA from 1 species
UUGCAUGCGGCAGCUACCAUGCAGUCGAGCGAGACCUUCGGGUCUAGCGGCGGACGGGUGAGUAACGCGUGGGAACGUGCCCUUCUCUACGGAAUAGUCCCGGGAAACUGGGUUUAAUACCGUAUACGCCCUUCGGGGGAAAGAUUUAUCGGAGAAGGAUCGGCCCGCGUUAGAUUAGGUAGUUGGUGGGGUAAUGGCCUACCAAGCCUACGAUCUAUAGCUGGUUUGAGAGGAUGAUCAGCCACACUGGGACUGAGACACGGCCCAGACUCCUACGGGAGGCAGCAGUGGGGAAUCUUAGACAAUGGGGGCAACCCUGAUCUAGCCAUGCCGCGUGAGUGAUGAAGGCCUUAGGGUCGUAAAGCUCUUUCGCUGGGGAAGAUAAUGACUGUACCCAGUAAAGAAACCCCGGCUAACUCCGUGCCAGCAGCCGCGGUAAUACGGAGGGGGUUAGCGUUGUUCGGAAUUACUGGGCGUAAAGCGCGCGUAGGCGGAUUGGAAAGUUGGGGGUGAAAUCCCGGGGCUCAACCUCGGAACUGCCUCCAAAACUCCCAGUCUUGAGUUCGAGAGAGGUGAGUGGAACUCCGAGUGUAGAGGUGAAAUUCGUAGAUAUUCGGAAGAACACCAGUGGCGAAGGCGGCUCACUGGCUCGAUACUGACGCUGAGGUGCGAAAGUGUGGGGAGCAAACAGGAUUAGAUACCCU